UGCAGACUGUUCUUGCAGGGGAC
rnacentral:piRNA from 1 species